rnacentral:rRNA from 1 species
CUACGGGGCGCUGCAGUGGGGAAUAUUGCACAAUGGGCGCAAGCCUGAUGCAGCCAUGCCGCGUGUAUGAAGAAGGCCUUCGGGUUGUAAAGUACUUUCAGCGGGGAGGAAGGGAGUAAAGUUAAUACCUUUGCUCAUUGACGUUACCCGCAGAAGAAGCACCGGCUAACUCCGUGCCAGCAGCCGCGGUAAUACGGAGGGUGCAAGCGUUAAUCGGAAUUACUGGGCGUAAAGCGCACGCAGGCGGUUUGUUAAGUCAGAUGUGAAAUCCCCGGGCUCAACCUGGGAACUGCAUCGGAUACUGGCAAGCUUGAGUCUCGUAGAGGGGGGUAGAAUUCCAGGUGUAGCGGUGAAAUGCGUAGAGAUCUGGAGGAAUACCGGUGGCGAAGGCGGCCCCCUGGACGAAGACUGACGCUCAGGUGCGAAAGCGUGGGGAGCAAACAGGAUUAGAUACCCCGUAGUC